UACGUAGGGUGCAAGCGUUUAAUCGGAAUUACUGGGCGUAAAGCGUGCGCAGGCGGUAAUGUAAGACAGAUGUGAAAUCCCCGGGCUCAACCUGGGAACUGCGUCUGAUACUGGAUGGCUUGAAUCCGGGAGAGGGAUGCAGAAUUCCAGGUGUAGCGGUGAAAUGCGUAGAGAUGUGGAGGAACACCGAUGGCGAAGGCAGCCCCCUGGGUCAAGAUUGACGCUCAUGCACGAAAGCGUGGGGAGCAAACGAGG
rnacentral:rRNA from 1 species